ACCUAUUCUCAAACUCCAAAUAGAUGAGAACCCCGGCUUUCUUGAUUCUUUCUUGAAGCCGUGGGAUUCGGAUCAGAGUGCCAAGUGGGCCAAUUUUGGUAAGCAGAACUGGCGCUGUGGGAUGAACCAAACGUCGAGUUAAGGCGCCUCAAUCGACGCUCAUGUGAAACCAUGAAAGGCGUUGGUUGCUUAAGACAGCAGGACGGUGGCCAUGGAAGUCGGAAUCCGCUAAGGAGUGUGUAACAACUCACCUGCCGAAGCAACUAGCCCUGAAAAUGGAUGGCGCUGUAGCGUCGUGCCUAUACUCGACCGUCAACGGCAAAGCAAAAACCGCUCCGCAAGGGGUGGGCUGUUACGCCUUGACGAGUAGGAGGGCCGCGGCGACGUGCGUAGAAGGGUCUGGGCGUGAGCCUGCCUGGAGCCGUCGUCGGUGCAGAUCUUGGUGGUAGUAGCAAAUACUCCAGCGAGGCCCUGGAGGACUGAUGUGGAGAAGGGUUUCUUGUGAACAGCUGUUGCACAAGAGUCAGUCGAUCCUAAGCCCUAGGAGAAAUCCGAAGCGAUGGGUUGCCGUGAACUUUGCUCGAAGUGCUGGCACCCGUUUGGGCGAAAGGGAAUCCGGUUCCUAUUCCGGAACCUGGCAGUGGAACCGUUUCAAAUCGGGCCCUCUGAGGACUCGUCAGGGCAACCUGAAUAGACCCGGAGACGCCGUCAGGAGGUUGGGGGAGAGUUGUCUCUUCUCUAUAAGCGAUCGAGUUCCCUGGAAACUUCUAGCAAGGAGAUAGGGUUUGGAUCGCGAAGAGCACUGCAGUUACGGCAGUGUCCCAAUCUUCCUCUCGGACCUUGAAAAUCCGGGUGAGGGCCACGAGGAACCCCACGCCAGAUCGUACCCAUAUCCGCAGCAGGUCUCCAAGGUGAAAAGCCUCUAGUCGAUAGAUUAAUGUAGUAGGAAGUCA
rnacentral:rRNA from 1 species